GUGCUUGCUUUGGCAGCAUGCCUACUAAAACUGGAAUGAUACAGAGAAGAUUAGAAUGGCCCUUGCAAAAGGAUUAAACUCAAAUUCUUGAAACAUUACAUAUAAAA
rnacentral:snRNA from 1 species